rnacentral:rRNA from 1 species
GUGCCUAAUACAUGCAAGUCGAGCGAACGGACGAGAAGCUUGCUUCUCUGAUGUUAGCGGCGGACGGGUGAGUAACACGUGGAUAACCUACCUAUAAGACUGGGAUAACUUCGGGAAACCGGAGCUAAUACCGGAUAAUAUUUUGAACCGCAUGGUUCAAAAGUGAAAGACGGUCUUGCUGUCACUUAUAGAUGGAUCCGCGCUGCAUUAGCUAGUUGGUAAGGUAACGGCUUACCAAGGCAACGAUGCAUAGCCGACCUGAGAGGGUGAUCGGCCACACUGGAACUGAGACACGGUCCAGACUCCUACGGGAGGCAGCAGUAGGGAAUCUUCCGCAAUGGGCGAAAGCCUGACGGAGCAACGCCGCGUGAGUGAUGAAGGUCUUCGGAUCGUAAAACUCUGUUAUUAGGGAAGAACAUAUGUGUAAGUAACUGUGCACAUCUUGACGGUACCUAAUCAGAAAGCCACGGCUAACUACGUGCCAGCAGCCGCGGUAAUACGUAGGUGGCAAGCGUUAUCCGGAAUUAUUGGGCGUAAAGCGCGCGUAGGCGGUUUUUUAAGUCUGAUGUGAAAGCCCACGGCUCAACCGUGGAGGGUCAUUGGAAACUGGAAAACUUGAGUGCAGAAGAGGAAAGUGGAAUUCCAUGUGUAGCGGUGAAAUGCGCGGAGAUAUGGAGGAACACCAGUGGCGAAGGCGACUUUCUGGUCUGUAACUGACGCUGAUGUGCGAAAGC